rnacentral:rRNA from 1 species
AACAAGUGCCGUUCAAAUAGGGCGGCACCUUGACGGUACCUAACCAGAAAGCCACGGCUAACUACGUGCCAGCAGCCGCGGUAAUACGUAGGUGGCAAGCGUUGUCCGGAAUUAUUGGGCGUAAAGGGCUCGCAGGCGGUUUCUUAAGUCUGAUGUGAAAGCCCCCGGCUCAACCGGGGAGGGUCAUUGGAAACUGGGGAACUUGAGUGCAGAAGAGGAGAGUGGAAUUCCACGUGUAGCGGUGAAAUGCGUAGAGAUGUGGAGGAACACCAGUGGCGAAGGCGACUCUCUGGUC